rnacentral:rRNA from 1 species
AUGAGUGUGUUUAAGUUGCCAGCCUCGGUUUGUGAUGAGCUCACCCGUAUGAUGCGUCAAUACUGGUGGGGAGUGGAGAAUGGGAAGAAGAAAAUGGCAUGGACAAGUUGGGACAAAAUGAUACUCCCCAAAGCUAUGGGGGGCAUGGGCUUCUGGGAUAUGAGAGCGUUCAACCAAGCGCUGCUGGCCAAGCAAGCGUGGAGGCUCCUUGACUCUCCUGACAGCCUAGUUGCGAGACUAAUGAAGGCAAAAUAUUAUCCUCAAGGUCAGUUAUUGGAUACAAUAUUUUCAGUCUCUGGAUCAGCUGCGUGGAAAGGCAUUCUGCAUGGUUUGGAGUUGCUCAAAAAAGGCGUCAUAUGGCGGGUGGGGGACGGGGAGCAUAUUCGGACGUGGCGAGACCCUUGGAUCCCACGGCCUUCUUCCUUCCGGCCGAUCACCCCAAAAGGCUCCUGCCGUCUCAAUCGUGUUUCUGCAUUUCUAGAUGCUAAUGGGGCAUGGAGGGCUGAACGCCUCCGUGAAUUUUUUUGGGAGAUGGAUGUUCAACAUAUCCUCAAGAUCCGUACCUCCCCAAGACAGUGA